AUUCCACUACUGAGUGUGAAUUUCCUUCUCUUUCAGGAUCUACCAACACCGGUGAAGUCCCUUCUGUGAACCACACAGCAGAAACUGGGUUGCUCCUUCCCACUGGCAAACAGCCUAAGGAGGAGCUGUUUAUAGGCUGUACCUGCUGAGUGUUGGAGGUGAUGAAAUGCACACACUGCUUGCCUUUCCUGCUGAGGAUAGGUACAACGUGGUCAUUGAGGACUGAGCAUCUUGCCAGUACACCUUCCUCCCCAGGUGGUGAAGCGAGCAGUCGAGCACUGUGCUAGUCAUAGCAGCACAAGUUAUUACCUACCAGCUCUGCCUUUCCGUUGGAUAUUUCCUUCAUGUUCAUGAUCUCCUUUUGGCAGCUGGAGAAGGGAAUGCCACCACAAAGGAAGGAUUACUGAGGCAAGAUUCACAUUGUAUUCAAAGGGAACACAAGUGCUAUGCAAUACACAUAUCACCACUGUGACAGAACUUCUGUUUGGGGAAAUCAAGAACUGAACAGAUCCUUUUCUAUUUCCACUCAUUUUCAGGGUGGUUCUUCUCAAACAAAGAUAAGCAGUCAGAAUAUGUUCCUUGAAGAGUUGGGCCUAGCAAUAUGGCAGCGCACAUUCGAUAAGAAAUCUUGUGAAAUGCUGCUCCUGAGGACCACGUGCUCCCUGACCCAUUGCCUUGACCGCUGCACAAUUAUUGCAGGGCUAGAGCUUGCUGAAUUCUGGGUGCUGCUAAAUUGCAUUUAGGCUCCAACGUAAGAGUUGUCCUGAUUUUUUCCAAGACCCCGAAUCCCUGCAGCUCCUGUUCUUGGCACGAAUUCUGAGUCCUGAGAACUUUGGAAAGCUGGACGCUUUUAAGGUAGGUAUUGG
rnacentral:lncRNA from 14 species